CCCUUUUGGGAAAAGCAGUACUUGCCACAUGACUUCAGGUGUGUGUUCACUGUCGUGUGUGUCUGUUUUUCCCAGGUAUCA
rnacentral:miRNA from 1 species